GUCCGGCCGGGCGAGCGCCGAGUCCCGCGGGCGGCGCGGAAGCGGCGGCCGGGCAGCCAUGUCGCCUUUGUCUGCGGCGCGGGCGGCCCUGCGGGUCUACGCGGCGGGCGCGGCGGUGAUCCUGGCGCAGCUGCUGCGCCGCUGCCGCGGGGGCUUCGCGGAGCCAGUUUUCCCGCCACAACCCGGGCGCGUUGCCAUAGUGACCGGAGGGACGGAGGGCAUCGGCUUUGCCACCGCGAAGCAUUUGGCGAGACUGGGCAUGCACGUGAUCAUAGCUGGAAACAAUGACAGCAAAGCCCGGGAAGCGGUGAGGAAGAUCCGAGAGGAGACCCUGAAUGACAAAGUGGAGUUUUUAUAUUGCGACCUGGCGUCCAUGAAGUCUCUCCGGCAGUUUGUCCAGAAGUUCAAGAUGAAGAAAAUCCCUCUCCACGUCCUGGUCAAUAACGCUGGCGUGAUGAUGGUGCCGCAGAGGGAGACGGAGGACGGCUUCGAGGAGCACUUUGGAGUGAACUACCUGGGCCACUUCCUGCUGACCCACCUCCUCCUGGACGACCUGCAGGCGUCGGGCUCCCCCGGCCGCAGCUCCAGGGUGGUGACCGUGUCCUCGGCCACACACUACGUUGGGGAGCUGGACUUGGACGACCUCCAGAGCAGCGGCGGCUACUCCCCGCACGGCGCCUACGCCCGCAGCAAGCUGGCCCUGGUCCUCUUCUCCCACCGGCUGCAGGCGCUGCUGGAGGCCAAGGGCAGCCCGGUGACCGCCAACGUGGCCGACCCCGGCGUGGUCAACACCGACCUGUACAGACACGUCUUCUGGGGCACGCGGCUCCUCAAGAAGCUCUUCGGCUGGUGGUUUUUCAAGACCCCGGAUGAAGGAGCCUGGACGUCCGUCUAUGCUGCCGUCUCCCCGGCGCUGGAAGGCGUGGGCGGCCGCUAUCUUUACAACGAGAAGGAGGCCAAGUCACUGGCGAUCACGUACGACCCGAAGCUUCAGCGACAGCUGUGGGCCCGGAGUUGCCAGAUGACCGGCAUCGCUGACAUGAGCCGGGACACCUUGUGGGGAUAGCGGCCACGCCGGGAGGACCCCGUCGGCCCAGCGGUCACAGAUGAACAGGAUGCUGUGAACUCCUUGUCGUGGAUCCAGGAGAUGUUGGCAUCAAAGGACAGAAGACCCAGGGUGGUUUCCCUGAGGCGUUUGUUAGAGGUGCUCACCCCCUCCCUCGCAUCCUGAUGUGGCUGGAAGAGCUGAGACCCCCGUCCAUGGGACUGGUAGCCAAGCAGCCCGAGAGGAACAAGCUGGGGCCCUUCUGAAGACGUCCGCUUGGAUAAGAAGCACCGUGACACCUUUCCUGGAAGAGCCAUGCAGGCACAAGAAGGGUCUUGGGUCCACAGCCAGCACAAGGGAGAAGAGCAGCCAGAGGUUAUGGAGAAAUGACAGUGGGAAGUUCAGAGAUUCCUUCAUCCCAGCUGUGGGAGUGGUGACAAUCCCAGUGUGAUCCCACAAGACGAUGUAUGGCUCCUGGCAGCCACGGGCUCAGAUCUCUGUGUGAAGACAAAGCACAAGGUCCCGGUGGAAGACCCCAUGUAUUUGGAGUGUCCUGGGGUGGCUGUUAACAAAUGACCACAAACUGGGGGCUUAAAUCAAAGCCAUCCAUCCUCCCCCAUCCUGGAGACCAGACGUCGGAGGUCAAGGGGUCCCAGGGCCACGUUCCCUCCAGAGGUUCCAGAGGAAGGUCCUUCCUGCCUCUUCCAGCUUCUGGGGGCUCCAGGGGGCCCUGGGAUGGUGGCCGCCUCCCUCCCAUCUCUGCCUCCAUCUUCAUGUGCGUGGCUUCUCCUCUGUGUCUGUGUCUCUUCUUCUGUCUCUUAGGGGGACACUGUCCUUGGAUGAAGGGCCACCCUCAUCCAGGAGGACCUCCUCCUAGACCCCCCCACUUCCGUCUGGAUAAUCAAGAAUGAUCUCUUCAUCUCAAGGUCAUCCAGUAAAUAUAUCUGCCAAGACCCUCUUUGCCAGUAAAGCCAUAUCCACAGGAAACAGGAACUAGGAGGUGGUCAUACCUUCUUGCUGUUUUCAGUCUAUCUACAUGCUCCAUGAACUAGAUGCCUUGGAAACUCAGGAGAUGUCCGUUUCUUCUCUGGUGACCAUGGAGGUCACAGCUUUUCUAUACGCACCCAAGGCCAGCCUCCUGGGUGAGUGACCUGUGCAGCUACCCAGGACCCUGCACUCACUGGGAUGCCUAGUGGCUUAAUGGUCCAUGGCUGCCAUCUUGGAAUUCUUAAAUGAAGUGUUAACCAGGACCCAUGUUUUCAUUCUGUGCUGGAGCUGCCGGUGCCGUAACCUCCGCUCACAUCCCUUCCAACCUCAAGAAAGAGGAGCCCAUCUGCAGCCAAUAAGGAGCCCCCCCAAAACUCACCAUGCACCCCCACUGAGCCAUCAAUGUGCCCAAGCCUGUCAUGGACGGUGGACCCUUGGUCCCGUUAGCCUAGUGGGCUUUGGCAACACACUGGAGGAUCCCUAAAAACAAGUGACGGUCAGCCCCGCUGUCAACAGAAUUCCCAAGUGCCUUCUUCUGGGCAUUAGCAUUUCAUAGACCUCUUCAAGCCACCCUCUUGUUUAGGCAUGCUUGAGAAGCCCCGAGCCAGACACAUGCAGAUUGCAGCUUCCAGCUCUGGCUCCUCGUCCUCGCAGCACUUCUCAGAUGUUCUGCUGAGCCUACAGCUCUGACUGAUGUGUUUUGGAAGAGGAGUUCCUUCCAACGUUAAAAUCAAGAUGGACAUGUGCCUUAUCUACUAUUUCUGAAGAGCCAGGACUCUGUACAAAGAAGCAGAGCCUUAACUUCUAGGAAGACCCCACCUUUGAGCGUUCACACGUCAUCCGAGACCUGUAUGGCUUUAGGACAUUAUCCACAAGUGUCAGCUACUGUUAUCAUCAUCAGAAAGGCACUUCCUAAGUAGGGACUCGGGAUGGGGUGGCAGGGUGACUUCUGACAUCCUCCAUCAUAGAAAGAACAAGGUUGCCAGCUCCUGAGAGAUGUCACAAUCCCCAGGUGAAGAUGGGCUCUCAGGGCAAUUUGGAGCUUGUAGGACCAGACUCAGGUUGCCCUUCCUAAUUGUAUGAUGCCCUUAUGUCAUUUGUCCACCAUGGGAGAGAGAGAACAUGGUUCUGGAGAAGUUAUCAUGUUCCCUUUGACACCUGACCAGAGGAUUCCUGAGACCUUGGAGACAAUUUUCCAGCAGCUGGAGAGAUCCCGUGGACCACUAGAAUGUCGCUGCCAUCUCCGAGCCCAGCCAGAGUGACACCUGCCAGGUCCUUCAAGAGUGACCCACCAGGAGCCACGGCUUGUGGUUCACAGACACUCCUUCAACUCAGAACACAUCGUCUCAGCGGGAAUUUAGAGCCCAGAAGAGAAUCUGCAGGACUCUUCGCUCAGCCUGAGGGGAAAUGGGAAGCGGUUUUCCCUCCGCCUGGAGAAGGAAACCCCGGUGUGUACUUGUGAGCGUUUCUUCCUGCUGCCCAGUCCAGAGUCUGGGUGAUGGACGCUGGAUGAUGGAGAAAGAACGGACCAGGGAGAAAAGGGCAGACGUCUCAGCUGAGAGCGUGACACUGGGUUGGAGGCAUUCAGGUCCGCGUAGAACCCCGGAAUGUGACCUGCGGGUCUUCGCUGAUGUCACCGUUAAGGGGUCAUGGGGGAGGGGUAGCCAGUGUGUCUGGUGUCCUUGGAGGAAGGUUGCUUGGAGAUGCAGGGGAGAAGACUGUGGGGACAGAUGCAGACAGCGGGGUCGUGCAUCCGUGUGGCAGGGAACACCAAGGAUUGCUCAGAUACCCCCAGAAACUCAGAGAGGUCGGAAAUAUCCCCCUGCAGAGCUUCCAGAAGGAACCCUCCGUAAUGACACCUUGACCCUGGGUCUCUAGUCUCCAGAAAUUAGAGUCAGUUCCUGUCCUCGAAAGCCCCCCAGUUUGGUAUAUUGUUACAGCAGCCCUGAGGAAGUGAAUCCAGUCCUUGACAACUGUUGAAAAUAUUGGGGUGAUCACCUCUGCUCAAGGGGGUUCCACCCCAGUAGCCAGGAGGUGAGACAUCUGAUAUGCUCGCGUGGAGAUCUGAGUCCCCCGGCAUGUAUGAGGAUGAGUUGCCGAUAUAACAAGCUGGCAGAUUCUUCUCCCGCGUAGGUGGUGACACAGUCUCAGCAGAUUUCCCUUCGCUGGACGAAAUUCCAGAGAGUCCCUUGACUUUAUGGAGCACCCUAUUUAAUACGUAGAAAACGGAAGUGGCUGGUCCAGGUCCCCAGGACCGAAUUCCCUUGCCGUUUGUAGAAUCGAUGAAUCCGUUCCUGAUUAUGUCCCAUGGUAGGUUAUUCUGAAAUAUCAAAUAGAGUCUCCUGUGCUCUGCAGGAAAUCCUUGUCGCCUGUCUGUCUGUGGAUAGUGGUGAGUAUCCGUUAAUCCUGUCUUAUCCCUCCCCGCCUCGGUAACCCCAGGUCUGUUCUCUCUCUCUGUGAGUCGGUUUGUUUACUGUAUAGACUCCUUUGUCUUAUUUUUGAGAUUCCACACAUAAGUGAUAUCAUGUAUUUGUCCUUAUCCGACUGGAUUUAGUUGAAUAAUCCCUCGAUCCACCCAUGUCUUGCAAAAGCCAUUGUUUCGUUCCUUUUUAUGGCUAAGCAGUAAUCCAUUGUGUGUGUAUGUGUGUCUAUCUAUACCACAUUCUUUAAAAUGUGUUAUUAUAGUUGACUUAGAGUGUUGUGUCCACUUCUGCUGUACAGCAAAGCAACCAACUCAUACAUGUAUAUACACAUUCCCUUUCUCAUAUUCUCUUCCAUCCUGGUCUGUCCCUGGAUAGAGUUCCCUGUGCUGCACAGCAGGACCUCAUGGCUGAUCCAUUCUCAAUGUCCUAGUUUGCAUCUACAAACCCCACACUCCCUGUCCAGCCCACUCCCUGCCCCUCCCCCUUGACAACCACAAGUCUGGUCUCUGUGGGAGUCGGUUUGUGUUCUGUAGGCAGGUUCAUUUGUGCCAUAUUUCAGAUUCCACCUAGAAUUGAUCUCAUGUGGUGUUUGUCGUCUUCUGUCUGACUGACUUUUCUUAGAAUCUCUAGGUCCAUCCAUGUUGCCGCAAAUGGCAUGAUUUCCUUCUUUUUAUGGGGGAGUAGUAUUCCAUUGAGUGUAUGGACCACAUCUUCCUAAUCCGUUCCUCCAUCGAUGGACAUCUAGGUUGCUGCCAUGUCUUGGUUAUUAUAAACGGGGCUGCUGCGAACAUCGGCGUGCAUGGAUCUUUUCUAAGUAAGGUUUUCAUUUUUUCUGGAUAGAUGUCCAGGAGUGGGCUUGCUGGGUCAUAGGAGAGCUCAAGUUUACAUUAGUAAAGGACCCUCCAUACUGUUCUCCAUACUGGCUGCACAGCUGACCGCCACCCCGCCCCAGCCGUGUAGGAGGCUUCCCUUUCCCCGCACUGAGAGAGGGGCCUUCUCCAUCACCACUGAGCCUUUCUGCAGGCUGCUGGGGCCCACAGUGCCUCUCCAAAAAGCUGAGGAAGAGCAGUGAGACUCUCCGUGGUCCAGUGGUUAUGCAGAAGCCGUGGGAGGUGUGGGAAGACAGCUCUGCAAGUGACAUUCUGGGGGGGCCAGGAGGGUGCAUCGGAAAGCGUGGGGAGCUGCUGGGGGCUGGGGUGUGACAGUGCUGUGAGCAGGCCAGGCUCAGGAUUUAGCAGAAAGACACAUCUGGGAUUUUCAUGCCAAACAUCCACAUGAGCCUUGCAAAGAGCAAGGAUUUCAUCUGGUCCAAAGACAAUGGGAUUAAGGAUUAAAGGAAGAGCAUUGCAGAAAAUGCUAGUGAGCAAAACCCCAGAAUGCAGAGCACAGUCCUUUUAAAAAGCAGUUUUACUGUCGCGUAAUGAGGGGAGUGUGUGUGUGUCCAUGUGUCAGGGGUUUAUGGUGGGACGAGAGACAGAGGCAGAGAAAUCUCGGGGCUGGACGGGGCGUGAUCUGCGGGAAGGACACAGGUGCUUUCAUUCUAAGUGAAACGUAUGCAAUUCAUAAAAUAGCAUCUUAUCAAUAUCUCUGUGCUCUGUCAUCAAUCCGUAUGAUUCUCCUUUGGGUCCAGGGGUCUCAGCUUAUUACAAUAAGCUUUAUAAUCAUUUUUAUUAAUUUAUUUUUUUGCUCGCACCUGAGGCAUGUGGAAGUUCCCUCGCCAGGCAUGGAAGCCUCGUCCCAACAGUGACCUGAGCCGCUGCAGUGACAAUGCCAGAUCUGUAACCUCUAGGCUGCCAGGGGACUCCAGCUUUAUGAUAUGAGGACACGCAGACAUGGGUGUUGGUGAGCGGAGGCGGCUGAAACAGAACUCCCAAGCCUGGGCGGCUCCAACUGUGGAAAUUUCUAUCCCACUCUCCUGGAGGCUGGGAGUCCAUGUUCACAGCGGGGGGAGAUUGCGUUCCUGGUGAGGCUCUCUUGUUGGCAUGCAGCUGCCCCCUUCUCCCUGUGUCCAGGGCGGGGUCAGGGGAGAGAGAGGUGGUGUUUCCUCUUCCUAAUUGCAUCAGAUCAGAGCUUCCUGCUUAUAACCUCAUUGCACACUAAUUGCUUCUCUGCCACCAAAACAGCUCCUCAGGGGGUUAGGGCUUCAGCAUAUGAAUUGAGGGGACAAAUCCCUGGGGACUGGCCUUGAGAUAAACCCUCAGGAAUGUCGGGGCCCAGCGGGGUGCCUCUGCUCCCUCUUCUCAUUGUAGUUUCAAAGGGGAACUGAGAACCCGAGAGGGGCACAUGCCACCUGCCUCUAAAGGGACUGAGCCCUGAGCCACUGCAGCUGCCCAUCCCCCAACACUCCCUGAAAGGGGCUCGGGGUGGAGACCAGGAGUGAGGACUCUGAGCUCUGGGAAAACUGGAAGAAGAGGCUUCAGAGAGUCAGAUAUUACUAGGAGAAGACUUUAUGUGCCCCAUUCUUGCAUCUCUUCCUAUCUCAAAAAACACUAAACUCCUUCGUGGUGAUGUCUGCUCCUUGGGACUGGUCGUGACCUUCAGGAGAUCAGCCACAAACUUCUGUAGAAUGUGUGUGUGCUGCAGGCCCCUCCCCCUCCGCUUGAUCACAUCCUGCUGUUCCCCCUUUUCCUCCCUGGGUGGUAUUUCCGCAGGUCUGUAGCUAAGGAUGAAGAAUGUCAGGGUCAUCUGGGAAUCAGUCACCUCCAGGGGUGAGAGCAGGUGAGUCCUGCAGGCUGUGCACACUCAGGAUCCUGCCCUGAGAGCAGAGGUGCACAUCAAAGGAAGGAAGCUGAGGGUGGGUUCAGUUCAAAAAUACUGGGAAAUAUAUACCCCACCAGUGGAGACACUGGGACUCGACUACAAGCUGUUGCAUUUGGCUCAGUUGAAAGAAACAGGGGUCUGGACUGAGUGUUCAGGUAAGAGGCUGACCUGAUGCUUUUCCUCAGUUCAGCUGCCUUCAUGGACGUUGUCAGGAUAAAGGUGAAGGCUUAUUUGAGAGCCUUUGCUCCCAAGAAAAGGGAGGAGACUCACUGGGCUGGCUCUGGUUUUCUCAGGUGCUUGAGAAAUUUAACGGGGUGGUGGAAGUGUCCUCAGGCCCUGCAGUGGCCCCACAGGGAAAGCCACUCCUUCAUUCAAACCUGCUCAGAGGAGGACUCAAUAAGAAAUGGCCAUGUGGCCCAUCUGAGCACCCGUGGGGGUGUCCUAGGUGCCACUGGGAGACCCAAGACACGUAAGAGGGGCCUAAAACAACCCUGGGCAAAGCCUAGAGGAGUUAGGCUCUCAAGCAGCCCUGGCCCACCACACAAGGGCCCCAGUAGAUUUUAUCCCUGACAGAUUCAAAUUCAAACAAAAUAAGAGGGGCAGGUGUCAGAAAACCAGCCUCCAACAAACACCUCAGGCAGGUUUACAAGUACAUAGUUUAUUGGGUAAUAAAGAAAAAGAAUUGCCCUGAAAAUAGCUACAAUGAGCUCUUUUAUUAGCUAUGCAGGUAUUGAAAUACAUUUUUAAAAAAUCCUUUCAAAAUUUUGCCCUGGGGGGACAAAUCUCACUAGGAGAAGGUGCUUCCUCUCCUGGAGCCUUGAGACCAGGCUCCCAGGACACUUAUCUCACCCAGACCUUCUCUAACUAUUGAGGCGGAAGGGACAACAUGGGAAAGAAAUGUUUAAAACUUAUUCCGACUGUUAUUUUAAAUGAGUGAGUUUUUACUUGUGACAUCUAACUCGUGACUCAGCUUGGAAAAUGAAUUUAUGAGAUCUCUGGUUAUGUCUCUCUGUUUGUAUGUGCAUUUAUAUGUCUUUAUUUAGUGGUAUUAUCGAAAAUAAUUUGUAAGGGAGCUCUACGUAAUUGGCUUAAAGGAAAUUGAGCACUUAUGGAAAUGCUCUACAAAAGGUAACGGGCCAGGAUUAAUUUUAGAUUAUUGGGAACUGGGAACCAUUCCAUGUUGAGUUCAUAUCUGAUAUGAACAUUGAAGUCCAUUGAUACAAGUAAUAGACAUGUCUUCAGAGUCAUCAACAUUAAGUAGAACACCUUUAUUGUACCUGGGAUAAGAGACGUCUAAUAAGAUCUUGUUACAUCUGUUGCAAAAUUAUUCGCAAGAAAAAAUAACUUGGUACCAUGAGAUGUUUAUAAGGCAAUUAAAUGCACGUGAGAUAAGAGCUUUUGGAUAAACGUUCAGAAAUAGUUAUCUUAAAAAUGUCUACUUAAGAAUGCACUCUCCAGAUAUUGGUACUGUGCAAAUUAGAAUUGUGCUUGAUUGUUAAAUGAUCAAAUUUUUUGAGGAGCUAGGUCGUUCCCAAAUAACUAAGAAACUGAGACAUUAAUUACUGCACAGAGACACUAAAGGCACAAAGGAUGGUUCUGAGCCACCCUGAGGUGUUCUCCCCGACACAAGCAAACACACAAAACGCAUGUUUUUUGAAAUUAUGAAAGACUUGUCCAUGGUUACUUUAGGGAACUGGGAACUAUUGCAGGAUAUGUGUUUUCAGGAAAGAAGGAAUGAGGAAUGGAGUUCUCGUUCCUCAAGGGAAAAGAAGAGGAAGUCUGUCUGUUGCUUGUUGUUUGGAAUGGAAACCAGGGGACAAACCAAUGGAUACAGAAACUGCUGGGAGGUUUGUGGGAAGUGGACACGGAGGGAAGGGUUGCAGUGUCAGAACCAUGCUUAGAGGGAGCUGAACUGAGUGAAUCGAUUUUAUAAUAAGCAGGUGCAAAACUUGACCUUGGCUUCCUUUGCUGAGAGAACAAAGUUUCCUUGGAAUGCUACUUUGAUAACAGAUUAUAUAACAGAACGUUCUUUUAAGUGAUCUGCUGUGUUUGCUUUUGCAAUCGCUUGUAACGUUGGUUAAGGAAAAAGGAUUCUCCACAGCAACCUAUGAUUCUAUCUGACCAAAUUAAAAGAAAAAAAGCUGAUAUUCUUGAUAAACUUCCAAUCCAAUUCUAAUUAAAGUUCUUUUAACUCAGCUAACUUUGGAAUGCUUCACAGGACCCCUGAGGCAUCCCAAAAGGAAAAACAAUGUUAAAUUAACUAGAAUUAUUUGGUAUGUUAAAAUACAUGGGGAGCCUUAUCAAAUGGGUGAUAAACCUCAGAUUAUACAGUUGAAUUGAUGUGUUUGAGAUAAAUAUUCUAGAACUGACAGUUUCUGAAACUUGGCUAUGUACUGGUACUGUGUUAUAAUAAUCUUUUUCUAGUUAUUUCAAAACGUUCCAUGUCACAACAGUAACCACAUUUUCUAGUUCAUUUGCACUGUAAUCAGAUUUAAAUGUGCCUUAAGUCUUUUGUCAUUGUAACAGUUAAUGACUUUGAUGCCUCUGCAAAAAUGCUUCCUCUUCAAGAAGAGCUACAGGAAGGACUUUUUAUUAAAGAAAUACAAGUUUCUGACUUCCAGACCUUAAUGAUGAGCUUGGUAAGAAAUGAAAGAAUUCUACAAGGAAAGGUGAUGGUUUCAUAAACAGUUAAACAAAAAGGAUUGGUUACAUUGAGCUGUGUGAACUGGGGCAUAUGGUUAUAAUUUUAUGGUUUCUCUUUGAAACAGGACUGGCUUUUCAUCUGUGCUUUCCAGGUAUAAAGAUUCUCCCCAUCGAGCGGUUUGGUAAAUUAUCCCUUUGGAAGCAGGAUUGAAACAUUUCUCUCCUCUCUCUGCCUGAUCCCUUCGGAGAGUGGAAACUCUCAGGUUCCCAGCAGCUUUAUCGGAUCAGUUAGGAGGGCCUCCUGGUGUGUAGCCUGCAGAAACUGCAAGGUAUUUGGGUUUUUGAAAAGCGAGGAAUUGACCUAGAUCUUGAAGAGAAAAUGUCUGACAAGCCCUAGGCGUGAUGUUCCUAGCCCUGAGCUGCCUUGUAAUCCCUUAGCCUGAGAUUCCUUGUAAAAGUUCUAGCAAAGCCAAUUUUUUGAAAACCCUGUAUGAUCAAUUAUAUUUCCAUAAAUAAAUCAUCCGGCCGAGGUUGUUGACACCAGACUUGAUCGGCAGAUGAAUCAGUCUUGGUUUGGCUAUAUUUGAUAAAAACAAGAGUAAUUUUAGAGAGAAAGAGAUGUUUCAAUGGACAUGUGCUAAAUCUGUUCAUCGAAUUCUUUUCAUUGCAGCCGGUAUGACGAAGACUUACUUCCUAGAUUGUUCUUUGCUGUCUGUUCUAUCGCUGCAAAGCUGAACUGAGCUUCUGAAGGAACAUUCUGAAGCUUGUUUCUAAAGUGUGUCUCAGUGACCUGUUCUUGGAUGAAGAUCAGACGCCCUGGAAUCUGCGACAAGGGGACCAUGCAAACUGAAAGGACUGGAAAAUCAAGGAUUAUUUCCAAGCCGAAAGGAAGGCCCUCACCAGGUACACGGAACGACCUCAUGGGCAGCAAGCAAAAUAAAGGGAAUGGACUCUUGGAUUCCUGUUUCCCCCCUUACGACAAAGGCCCCUGCCCUGGACUGGACUGCUGGACCUCAAAGUCACCCCUGGACUGGACUGGACUCCUGGACCUCAAAAUCAUCUUAAAACAAUAUUCACAUGGAGGAGAAGACACACAGGGAUGAGAAGACGCCAACCUCGGAGGUAGACAGCUGACCCCAGAUGCUGGACCUGAUGCCUUUCGUGAUGCAGUGACUCCUUAGACGUUUCCACAUGGAUCCAGUGUUCUUCCCUCAGAAGAAUGAUCCUGUGGUCAUUUUAAAAAUCAGUGCACGUGUUGGGUGUGUGACCAGUGACCUGUGUUCAGGACUUCCGGGUUACCUGGGUGGGCUUCUCCCCUGCAGGGUUCCGAUGGGAUGGCCCUUAGGAAGUUAUUUUAGAAGAAAGAGUUCCGUCCUGUACAGGCCACGAUUGAUACUACUGGAUGAGAUUUUUCUCACUUGGCCAACUAAUGUUCACCUGCUCUGACUCUGAACAUAAAUAGGAAUUUUCCUUCGGGGUCACUCAAACGCAGUAGAAUGAGCUGAGUCUCCAUCAAAACCUGUAACUCCUGCUUAUUAAAAGGGACCUUCCCACAAUUAUGGGAUGGACUUAUAUAGUUAGCACUAGGCUAUGGCUGUUUCAGUUUAAAGUCCCCUAUGUUGGGAAUCAUUAAAUUACACUAAACGUGAUCAGCAUAACCUCCUAACAUUAGGAAAUAUGGCUGGGUGCCUUACAAACAAAGCCUAUGUAUUAUUCCCUUUAUAAACUAAACAGUGGCUGGUAUGGAACAGACUGGGUCCGG